GUUCGUUUGCUUCGCUUACUUUUUAAUGGACGCGUCGUCUUAUGGCUCGUCACGUUCCCGGAGCGCUGCACGCCGGCGCGAGCGAGUUUCAGCUCGUGUCGCCUUGUUCCGUGCUGCCUUUGAUCCUCGAUAUAAGCCAUCUCCUGGGGAAAUUGUGGACAGAUCAUGGUUUGUUGACCCUGGCUUUUUCCCUGUUGUCUCGCGUGAAUAUGGCCGAAUCCGCCGUCGCCAACAGUUUAAGCGACUGAGGUGGCUUAGGUGGGCAAAAGCAGGUGUGCACUCGCUGUUCGUAUUUUUAGGCUUGUUGGUCCGCGCGGUGCUCACCUUUUCUACCUUCCGCUCCAAGGCCGUUACCCCUUUUCGACAACAUCCACUUCUAGGAGCCUUUUCAACCUUCAGUACAUGGAGUUCCUGAAAGGUAGCUAUCUGAU